rnacentral:siRNA from 1 species
AGGUGGCAAGCUAUUGGAUGCUGA